GAGCAGCUUCACCUGGAGAAAGCAGCCUGCAGCCCACAGCCAAUCAGCACGGAGGAGCAGGGCUCUCCGCUUCAGGAUUGGCUGAUUGGCUUCUUUUUGUUUAUUUAUUUAUUCAUUUAUUUAUUUGACAGCCUCAUUAGUUGCCUCGCCGUGAAGCUUCUUGGGCACCAAGUCACUGCACCGAGAACAGGAUUUAAUCUGCUUCUUGUGUUUGGAAAGAAAGACACGCAAGGACGACAGCAGCAGUUGAUCCGGGGCGCUGCUCUCUCCUCUCCGUCUCCUCAAAGGGGGAAAAUAGUGACGAUCAACAUCUUCUCUCCAGAGCCUCUGCGUAAAACCAGACACCAGCUGAUAUGAGCAGAGAGGGAAUCAGUGCAUCGGUGGUAGUGCAUUAAAAACACAAAGGCCUCAUCCUGGGCGACAGAGGAGGAGGAGGAGGGAUGGUGCCCAGCAUGGGACGGCUCAGCCACCGCCGGCAGGACGGCUGCAUCACGCCGUCCCUGGACCGCCGCCACCUGAUCAUGACAAACAUCCGCCGGCGGCUCUGCAGUCCGGCUCCACCGUGUGAAGGGAAGACAGAAAUGAAGAAGGACAUCACAGUAAAUGUCCAGUUCUCCUGUCGAUUCAUCUCUUGGGCAAUCAGUGGAACAAUUAUCAAUAUUGAUAUAUUAUUGACGUUCACUGAUAGAUCCCAUUGGGUCACUCAGAACAUUUACAUGCACACUCAUUUCCCACCAUUACUCCGAAUAUGACAAUAUUCCUAAUUUGAUCUGAGUCAUGCAAACAGCAUAUUCUGAAUCAGGCCUUUUUCCAACUGUAGUAUUUUCAGACUAACCCAUGUGGAAUACACCGAUAUUAUUUUUAUUAUUAUUAUUAUUAUUUUAGGAGUUUUCUGUAGUCGUCUGUGCAGCACAUUGGGAAUAUGCUCAGCUGUGUGCAUUUUAAACAAACCAACCAGCCAGCAGUGUCUAGGGAAGAGGAGUGUGCACAAAAGAAGAGUCACACAUUUCCGGUCAGAAAGGGAAACACCUACUUUUAGAUCUGAUGAAAGACUUGGGUUUUUCCAUAUGUGCAGAAAUCACAAGGCCGAGCGUUUCGAUAAGAAAAGGAGGAGGUUGAAUGAGCGACAGAGGGAAGCUGUCGAAGUACGCAUCAGCCGUGUGAACAGAUUAGCAGGAAUAUUGACUUUUUCAGAAUGAGGGCAAAAAACAGAAUAUUUUGUGCAUUUUGUGCAUAGUCGCUGAGAUUUUUUGAGCCGUAACGACGUAAAUCAGCCGUGGACUGACACAGAGAGAAAGAUGUCUGCACGAUGAUGUCAAUUUUGUGCUAAAAACAGAAAACACGGAGCUUUUUUUUAAUGUUUUCUUGGAACAUAUUGAGCUGUAUUUUAACAAUCUAAGUGCACAUAUUUCUCACAUAUUUUUAGAUUCCCAAAGCUACUCGGCAUACCUCAGACAAAUUACAUCAUAUAUUUAUUUAAUACGUCCCCUUAUAUGUCUGUUUCCAAGAAUAUCCAACAGAGGUCUCACACAUGUGCAACCCUUUGGUUAUUGGUGAUUGAUUCCUGUGUUUGCAAAACCAUACUGUAUAACUGAUAUUAAAAAUGUACCUAAACCUUGUUUGUGUUUUUGUGUUAAGAGAUUUAACUUGAUCAAUAUCAUCAAAAUUCAAAUACAUGAGGUGAGAAAUGGCUCCUUCCUC